rnacentral:rRNA from 1 species
UACACUCCUACGGGAGGCAGCAGUGGGGAAUAUUGCACAAUGGGCGCAAGCCUGAUGCAGCCAUGCCGCGUGUAUGAAGAAGGCCUUCGGGUUGUAAAGUACUUUCAGCGGGGAGGAAGGCAAUACGGUUAAUAACCGUGUUGAUUGACGUUACCCGCAGAAGAAGCACCGGCUAACUCCGUGCCAGCAGCCGCGGUAAUACGGAGGGUGCAAGCGUUAAUCGGAAUUACUGGGCGUAAAGCGCACGCAGGCGGUCUGUCAAGUCGGAUGUGAAAUCCCCGGGCUCAACCUGGGAACUGCAUUCGAAACUGGCAGGCUUGAGUCUUGUAGAGGGGGGUAGAAUUCCAGGUGUAGCGGUGAAAUGCGUAGAGAUCUGGAGGAAUACCGGUGGCGAAGGCGGCCCCCUGGACAAAGACUGACGCUCAGGUGCGAAAGCGUUGGGAGCAAACAGGAUUAGAAACCCCUGUAGUCCCA